UACCCUGUAGUUCCGGAUUUGU
rnacentral:miRNA from 1 species